CGGCAGGCCUAACACAUGCAAGUCGAGCGGCAGCGCGUCCGACCACCCUCGGGUGGUCGGAUGGCGGCGAGCGGCGGACGGGUGAGGAAUGCAUCGGAAUCUGCCUCGUUGUGGGGGAUAACGUAGGGAAACUUACGCUAAUACCGCAUACGACCCUACGGGUGAAAGUGGGGGACCUUCGGGCCUCACGCGAUGAGAUGAGCCGAUGCCGGAUUAGCUAGUUGGCGGGGUAACGGCCCACCAAGGCGACGAUGUCUAGCUGGUCUGAGAGGAUGAUCAGCCACACUGGGACUGAGACACGGCCCAGACUCCUACGGGAGGCAGCAGUAGGGAAUAUUGGACAAUGGGGGAACCCUGAUCCAGCCAUGCCGCGUGAGGGAAGAAGGUCCUCUGGAUUGUAAACCUCUUUUGGCAGGAAACAAACCUGCGCUAUACGCGCAGCUGAGGGUACCUGCAGAAUAAGCACCGGCUAACUCCGUG
rnacentral:rRNA from 1 species